GCUAGGCAACAACCCAGGCCAGAGGAGUGCUUAGCCCCAAUACCCCAAACGUGUGUGUGCACAUAACGAAGGUGCAAUUGUAAUUGUGCGGCUCUCCGGCCUGUCUGGCAAGGCCCUUGCUUCCAACAGAAAGCUGACAACCUCCGCUGCCUGGGCGAAACACAAAGGUCUCCCGUUCUUCCAAGGCUCCGGCCGAUAACGCUGCGCUGGGGAAUUGUGCGAACUCUGUGGCUCCGGUAUAUUGUCUUGCUCUCCUUUCAAGGGCUGCGUUAUGAACUCAGGACUCUUCAAACAAAACACGUCAUCUCCAGUGCUGAAUCGAAAAUCCCGUUUAACUUGAAACACGCAGUGUCGUUCACCUACAUACAAAAAAUCCCCAGUUUUCAAUGGAUAUAUGCUGAAGAGAUUUA